AAGGUUCUUACUAUAUCUAAUUAAAGUAAGAAGUAAAAGGGAAAUCGGUUCAAAUCCGAUGCGGUCCCGCCACUGUAAUUGCUAGUUUGGAGCUAUAUGCCACUGAAAUUUUCGGGAAGGCAGCUCAUAAACGUUAAUGCAUAAGCCAGGAGACCUGCCUUUAU
rnacentral:ncRNA from 1 species